UGCGCCACUGCCACCCUUUCAGACCAAUGGAACAAUAUAUACUAUAUAAUAUAUAGUUCAGUCCGUCUGUUGUCGUGGUUCACUAGUGAUGUCUGCGUAAAUGAAGAGAGUAAACACACACCGUCUCUGAUGAGUGAUGAUUUGAGCUGAAAAAUCUGAAGAACAAAUAAAAGUCUUUAAAUGUUGAAGUUUAAGAUGUUAAUUCAGAUAAAGAGAGAGUUUCCCGCCUGAAACUUUAUCUUCAUGGUUCAGCAGUGAUGCCUGUCUGUUGCCAUGGUUACUGAGCUGAGAGAGGGAAGUGAAACCUUGAAGACCAGUUUCAUCCAGUCUGAGGAAGACCAACAGAACCAGCAGCCUCCUCUGCUGCAACCAACAGGGUGGAGUUUAUUUUCUCUGUGCAUGAACUUUCUUCAUGUUGUCUCUCUGUCUCCUCCUCCAGUGGGUGAUGUCCGUCCCACCCUGACGGUGCUGCCCCCCUCCAGCGAGGAGCUGCAGCAGGGGAAGGCCACGCUCAUGUGCCUGGCCAACAAGGGCUUCCCCUCAGACUGGAGUCUGGCCUGGAAGGUGGACGGCAGCAGCAGCAGCAGCAGCAGCAGCAGCUGGGAGGAGAGCAGGAGCCCCGGGGUGCUGCAGAAGGACGGCCACUACAGCUGGAGCAGCACCCUGAGGCUCUCUGCAGACCAGUGGAGGAAGGUGGGCUCUGUGACCUGUGAGGCCACCCAGGGCUCCCAGACUCCGCUCUCAGAGACACUGAGGAGAGACCAGUGUUCCCAGUCCUGACCUGACUCACUGGGACUCUGCUACUGGUUUUCCUCUGCUCCUGCUCUCACUCUGCACUCUGGAACUGUCUCUCUCUUUUAUUUGACAUCUUUCAACAGCAAGAUUUACUAGCUUGUUGCACUGUUUCAAUAUUAUUUCAGUGUUUCCAGAUAAUAAAGACCUUUUCAUCCAA